AACGAACGCUGGCGGCAGGCCUAACACAUGCAAGUCGAGCGCCCUUUCGGGGGAACGGCGGACGGGUGAGUAACGCGUGGGAAUAUGCCCUUCUCUACGGAAUAGCCUCGGGAAACUGAGAGUAAUACCGUAUACGCCCUGUGGGGGAAAGAUUUAUCGGGGAAGGAUUAGCCCGCGUUGGAUUAGGUAGUUGGUGGGGUAAUGGCCUACCAAGCCGACGAUCCAUAGCGGGUGUGAGAGGAUGAUCAGCCACACUGGGACUGAGACACGGCCCAGACUCCUACGGGAGGCAGCAGUGGGGAAUCUUAGACAAUGGGGGCAACCCUGAUCUAGCCAUGCCGCGUGAGUGAUGAAGGCCUUAGGGUUGUAAAGCUCUUUCAGCUGGGAAGAUAAUGACGGUACCAGCAGAAGAAGCCCCGGCUAACUCCGUG
rnacentral:rRNA from 1 species